rnacentral:ncRNA from 1 species
CAGAGUAGGAACAGCGCGUCAAGUGUCGGCAAAUGGGAAGUUGUUGCCGGACGAAGAGGCCUCGCGCCUCGCGGUGCUGUUCCGCAUCCGCUGC